GAUGAACGCUGGCGGCGUGCCUAAUACAUGCAAGUCGAGCGAACAGACGAGGAGCUUGCUCCUCUGACGUUAGCGGCGGACGGGUGAGUAACACGUGGAUAACCUACUUAUAAGACUGGGAUAACUUCGGGAAACCGGAGCUACUACCGGAUAAUAUAUUGAACCGCAUGGUUCAAUAGUGAAUGACGGUUUUGCUGUCACUUAUAGAUGGAUCCGCGCCGCAUUAGCUAGUUGGUAAGGUAACGGCUUACCAAGGCAACGAUGCGUAGCCGACCUGAGAGGGUGAUCGGCCACACUGGAACUGAGACACGGUCCAGACUCCUACGGGAGGCAGCAGUAGGGAAUCUUCGGCAAUGGGCGAAAGCCUGACGGAGCAACGCCGCGUGAGUGAUGAAGGUCUUCGGAUCGUAAAACUCUGUUAUUAGGGAAGAACAAAUGUGUAAGUAACUAUGCACGUCUUGACGGUACCUAAUGAGAAAGCCACGGCUAACUACGUG
rnacentral:rRNA from 1 species